ACCAUUCAUCGUGUCCUAUU
rnacentral:miRNA from 1 species